CUACGGGCGGCAGCAGUGGGGAAUAUUGGACAAUGGGGGAAACCCUGAUCCAGCAAUGCCGCGUGUGUGAAGAAGGCCUGCGGGUUGUAAAGCACUUUCGGUUGGGAGGACUGCUUCUAGCACUAAUAUUGUUGGAAGUUGACGUUACCUUCAGAAGAAGCACCGGCUAACUCCGUGCCAGCAGCCGCGGUAAUACGGAGGGGCAAGCGUUAAUCGGAAUUACUGGGCGUAAAGCGCGCGUAGGCGGCUAGAUCAGGCGGGUGUGAAAGCCCCGGGCUUAACCUGGGAACUGCAUCCGAUACUGUCUAGCUUGAGUACAGGAGAGGAGAGUGGAAUUCCACAUGUAGCGGUGAAAUGCGUAGAUAUGUGGAGGAACACCAAUGGCGAAGGCAGCUCUCUGGCCUGAUACUGACGCUGAGGUGCGAAAGCGUGGGGAGCAAACAGGAUUAGAUACCCCCGUAGUC
rnacentral:rRNA from 1 species